CUCUUCCUUUAUUCCUCACAAUUUUCGAUCAAAAAUCCUCUUAUUCUCGCUAUCAACAGCAAAUUUCUUAACAUGCAGAUCUUCGUCAAAACCCUCACCGGCAAGACAAUAACUCUCGAGGUCGAGAGUUCUGAUACAAUCGACAACGUCAAGGCCAAAAUCCAAGACAAGGAAGGCAUCCCACCGGAUCAGCAACGUCUGAUCUUUGCCGGAAAGCAACUCGAGGACGGCCGUACUUUGGCCGAUUAUAACAUUCAGAAGGAGUCAACCCUCCACCUUGUCCUCCGUCUCCGUGGAGGCAUGCAGAUCUUCGUCAAGACUCUUACCGGCAAGACUAUUACUCUGGAGGUGGAGAGCUCCGACACCAUUGAUAACGUCAAGGCCAAGAUCCAGGACAAGGAAGGGAUCCCACCGGAUCAGCAACGUUUGAUCUUUGCCGGAAAGCAACUCGAGGACGGCCGUACCUUGGCCGAUUACAACAUACAGAAGGAGUCGACUCUACACCUUGUCCUCCGUCUCCGUGGAGGGAUGCAGAUCUUCGUCAAGACUCUCACCGGCAAGACUAUCACUCUUGAGGUUGAGGGCUCCGACACCAUUGACAACGUCAAGGCCAAGAUCCAAGACAAGGAGGGUAUCCCACCGGACCAGCAGCGUCUGAUCUUUGCCGGAAAGCAGCUCGAGGACGGCCGUACCUUGGCCGAUUAUAACAUCCAGAAGGAGUCAACCCUCCAUCUUGUGCUCCGUCUCCGUGGAGGGAUGCAGAUCUUCGUGAAGACUCUCACCGGCAAGACCAUUACACUUGAGGUGGAGAGCUCCGACACGAUUGACAACGUAAAGGCCAAGAUCCAAGAUAAGGAGGGCAUCCCCCCGGACCAGCAGCGAUUGAUUUUCGCCGGAAAGCAAUUAGAGGACGGCCGAACCUUGGCCGAUUAUAACAUCCAGAAGGAGUCAACCCUACACCUUGUUCUCCGCCUCCGUGGAGGGAUGCAGAUCUUCGUCAAGACUCUCACCGGGAAAACCAUAACUCUUGAGGUGGAGAGCUCCGACACCAUCGACAAUGUGAAGGCCAAGAUCCAAGAUAAGGAGGGUAUUCCCCCGGACCAGCAGCGAUUGAUCUUCGCCGGCAAGCAAUUAGAGGACGGUCGAACCUUGGCUGAUUACAACAUCCAGAAGGAGUCAACCCUCCAUCUCGUUCUCCGUCUCCGUGGUGGUAUGCAGAUCUUCGUCAAGACUCUCACCGGCAAAACCAUAACCCUUGAAGUGGAAAGUUCUGAUACCAUAGACAAUGUCAAGGCGAAGAUCCAAGACAAGGAGGGAAUCCCCCCGGAUCAGCAGCGAUUGAUUUUUGCUGGGAAGCAAUUGGAAGACGGCCGCACCUUGGCCGACUAUAACAUCCAAAAGGAGUCAACUCUUCAUCUUGUGCUGAGGCUUCGUGGAGGCAUGCAGAUAUUUGUCAAGACCCUUACCGGAAAGACGAUAACCCUGGAGGUGGAGAGCUCUGAUACGAUCGAUAAUGUGAAGGCUAAGAUCCAGGACAAGGAGGGGAUUCCACCGGAUCAGCAGAGGCUUAUCUUCGCUGGGAAGCAGCUGGAGGAUGGGCGUACCUUGGCUGAUUAUAACAUUCAGAAGGAGUCCACCCUCCACCUUGUUCUCCGUCUUCGUGGUGGCAGAUUAAUUUUUGUGCAAACUCUGACCGGCAAGACCAUCACUCUGGAAGUUGAGAGUUCCGAUACCAUCGACAAUGUUAAAGCCAAAAUUCAAGAUAAGGAAGGAAUGAAGGCAUCCCUCCCAACCAGCAACGUUUGAUCUUCGCCGGUAAACAACUUGAAGUGAUUACAACAUCUAAAAGGAGUCGAUCGACCCUCCAUCUAAAAGGUCUUCUUGUACUCUUUGUUUCUUUCUGAUUUCAAUAAUAAGCAUUUCGUUCGUAUUUAAA